CUACGGGGUGCAGCAGCUGCGGAAACUCUACAAUGCGUGAAAACGUGAUAGGGGGAUUCCAAGUGCUUGCGUUUCGGCGUAAGCUUUUGUUAUAUGUAAAAAGUAUGACGAAUAAGUGGUGGGUAAGACGGGUGCCAGCCGCCGCGGUAACACCUGCGCCACAAGUGGUAAUCAUGUCUAUUGGGCCUAAAGCGUUCGUAGCCGGUUUGAUAAAUUCUGAGUGAAAUUAUUCUGCUUAACGGAAUAGCGUGCUUGGAAGACUGUCAGACUAGGGACCGGGAGACGUUAGAGGUAUGGGAAGGGAAGCGGUAAAAUGUGAUAAUCCUUCUUAGACCACCGAUGGCGAAGGCAUCUAACGAGAACGGGUCCGACGGUGAGGGACGAAAGCCAGGGGAGCAAAAGGGAUUAGAUACCCCGGUAGUC
rnacentral:rRNA from 1 species